CCCUUAGAUGUCCUGGGCCGCACGCGCGCUACACUGAUGCAUUCAACGAGUUUUACCUUGGCCGAGAGGCCUGGGCAAUCUUUUAAACCUGCAUCGUGAUAGGGAUAGAUUAUUGCAAUUAUUAAUCUUGAACGAGGAAUUCCUAGUAAACGCAAAUCAUCAAUUUGCAUUGAUUACGUCCCUGCCCUUUGUACACACCGCCCGUCGCACCUACCGAUUGAAUGGUCCGGUGAAAUCUCGGGAUUGUGGCCAGUUCACUUUAUUGGGAGUUGGCUGCGAGAACUUGCUUAAACCUUAUCAUUUAGAGGAAGGUGAAGUCGUAACA
rnacentral:rRNA from 1 species